rnacentral:lncRNA from 1 species
CUUCUGUCUAGCGUUGUAUGAAGAAAUCCCGUUUCCAACGAAGGCCUCAAAGAGGUCCAAAUAUCCACUUGCAGAUUUUACAAAUAGAGUGUUUCCAAACUGCUCUAUGAAAAGAAAGGUUAAACUGUGAGUUUAACGCACACAUCACAAAGUAGUUGUUGAGAAUGAUUCUGUGUAGUUUUUAUACGAAGAUAUUGCCUUUUCUGCCAUAGGCCUAGAAG